GGAUUUCACUGGGGAUGAAGUAAUAGAUUUAAACUCUAUGUAGAGCGCUCUCUCGUGGCUCCACCCACCACGCACGUUCGAACCAAUCAUAUUAUCCUCUCUGGCGUCCAUGGGCGUGACUAACCGCGUCUGUCUGUUAAAGGUAGCAGGUUGUACAUGGCGAGCGGGUUACUCACUGAGGACUGGUGAUUGGUGUAAUGGAAGCCGUCUCUGAACCGCAUUUAAUGACGGAGAACUACAGGAGUGGAGAGAAAACGCAGCACUGAGCAACUUGUAGACUUCACACCCGACUGUAGAAUCCCUUCUAUUGUGUGCUGGAAGAUCGCUGGACUUGAAGCAACUCCAAAUGGUGGCCUGUUUGUCCAAAGCCCAGGCUGACCCCCCACCCCUUCAACCUUUGCAGCAAUGCUGGCAGCACUAUUUCCCAAAGACAACCUCUGGAUAUGACGCUGAGCACGUGCACUCAACUUCUUCUUUGGUCGACCAUGGCGAGGCCUGUUCUGAGUGGAACCUGUCCUGUUAAACCGCUGUAUGGUCUUGGCCACCGUUCUGCAGCUCAGUGUCAGGGUCUUGGUAAUCUUCUUAAAGCCUAGGCCAUUUUUAUGUAGAGCAAGAAUUCUUUUUUUCACAUC